rnacentral:misc_RNA from 1 species
GUGAGUCAUCGAAUCUUUGAACGCAUCUUGCACUUUUCAGGUCUCCUGGAAAGUAUACUUGUUUGAGUAUCAUAAACAUUAACUCCUCUAUCCGUAGAGGGAAUUGAGGCGUCAUGGCGCAAGCCGUGUGCCUUUUAAUUGAUGAGUCAGCAAUCCCGUCGUCUCGAUGAUGGGAGCCUUGCACAACCAAAUGUGAGAUACAUAUCGCACAAAGUACGUGAGUGAGGUCAACGCCGGCGCGCCCAGAAGCAUCUUGCUUCACCUUGAACAUUGAUCUCAAAUCAAGUAAGACUACCCGCU